GCAAAGUAUGUGGCUUCUUGUGGGGUCUGUCAGCUCGUGAAGGCUGAGCAUAAGAGACCCGCGGGUUUGUUGCAGUCCUUAGAGGUUCCAGAGUGGCCAUGGGAUGACGUCGCCAUGGAUUUUGUUGUUGGCCUACCUCGCACCCGAAGGGGAAAGGAUGCAAUUUGGGUGGUGGUGGACGGACUUACCAAAGUGGCUCAUUUUAUUCCUAUCCGUACCACAGACUCGGCAAGUGACUUGGCACCGAUAUAUGUGCGUGAGAUAGUAAGAUUGCACGGAGUUCCAAAAACUAUUACUUCUGACAGAGAUGCCAAGUUUGUAUCAAGGUUCUGGGAGAGCUGGCAGAGUGCAAUGGGUACACAGUUGAGGAUUAGCACGGCAUUUCAUCCCCAAACA
rnacentral:rRNA from 1 species